rnacentral:tRNA from 1 species
ACCUAAAUAGCUUAUGUAGAGUAUAACAUUGAAGAUGUUAGGGAAAUAUUUUUAUUUUUAGGUA